ACCACUUCUCAGCCUUUUGGCUAAGAUCAAGUGUAGUAUCUGAAAGGACAGAUAAUAACAAGUUCAGGCAAGGAUGUGAAGAAAUUAAUAACCCUU
rnacentral:snRNA from 1 species